rnacentral:lncRNA from 1 species
UUUGUUUUUUUUUUUUUAGCAAGGCAGAGGGAAGGGAGCGGAGAGGGCAAAGCCUGCCAGAACCAUGUAUUUUUAGAGAAUGUCAUUUGUAAUAAUUGCUAUUUUUGAUUAGACAGGGAAAAUAGUUGUAGCCUCAAUGUAGUCUUUGUUAAACAUUUCUUAUUUUAGAAUUGUGUGACAUUUAUUUUCCUUUGGAUUGUGAUUGUUCCUUUUUUCUACUUAUGUCUUUAAUGUACUUGUUUUGUUGAGGUCUGAGAGAAGUGGGUUCAAGUUUUCAGCUGUGGCCCUUAAUGUACUCAUGGUUCUGUUGGCCACUUUAUGUCCACAGAAAUGCCUUUGACUAGAAAUACAGCAUUUUAAUAUUAAUAUAACCUCUGCAGUUCCCUUGCUUACCUUUGCCUUGAUUUCAACCUUGAGUUUUAGUCUUACUUAGUCCUUAUGUCUGUCAGUUGUAUGCAUGUUUAGGGCCACUGUUUACAGAUUGGGUUCAGUAAUACUUUAAGGAAUCUUUAAGAUUUCAUAGUUCUCAGUUCUGUAAUGAAAAGGAUUUGAUGUUUGUGCCAUUUUACUGUAAUUUCUAUGUUUUGGUAUUCUUAGUGCCUUCGCUUUAAUGUGUUGUUUGGUUGGUAUUUCUUUCAUCCUUUUCAUUCCUAAGAAGGUCUUCUCUGUAAGUUCAGCUAUUAUUAGCCUAAAGUUAUAUGUGAAGGACAUUGAGCCUUUUCUUAAGCACAGAAUGAACCCUGGAACGCAUUACCAUCGAUACAGCACCCUACCUUUAGCUAAUACAGUUGUUCAUUCUACUACUUCUAUCCUUUAUAUUCUCACGUAUUAAAAUUGUAGCCAUUCAAUGCUAUAUUCAUAUCUGCAUGUGGAUUUUGAAUUUCCCCUCUCUUGAUUUUACAUUGCAUUGCUUUCCUAUACAGUAACUUCAUCAUAAGGAAAUGUUUCAUAAUUUCCUUUAGAAAUUAGUCUUUAUUACUUUUCUAUUGGUGUAAAGAGACUCCAUGAUCAAAGCAACUUAUAAAACAAAAAAGCAUGUAACAUAAGGCUUGGUAAGGUUUCAGAGGGUGAGUUCAUGCACAUUGUGUACGCCAGGGAGAACGAGAGCAAGCAGGCAGGCAGGCAUGGCACUGGAGCAAUAAUGAGGGCUUACAUCUAGCCCACAUUGCAGCGGGCAGAGAGAGGAGAGACUGGGGCAACUAGCCUGGGCUUUGAAACCUCAUACCCUACCCACAGUGUCACACCUCCAGAGGGCCACACCUAAUCCUUCCAAAACAGUGCCACCAACUAGAGACCAAACAUUCAAACAUGUGAGCCAUUGGGGCCCAUUCCCAUUCAAAUCGCCAGAGCACAAAAGACUUUAUAGUAUGAAAAGACUUUUGUUUCAUCCUCAAGGUGCGUUUCUGACUCUCAUUGUUUCCUCUGAGGAAUCAGCGAUACACUUCACAGCUCUUUCUGUGGUAUACUUUUCUGUUUUCUAGCUUUAUGAAAGUAAAAUAGAAAAACAGGAUAUAUAUAGUAUUAAGGUAUACAACAUGUUUUGAUGCUUGAAUAUGCUAUGAAAUGAUUAAAUUAAGCAUAAUAAUGUGUUUCUUCACAUACUUUCCUGCACUGAGACUAUGAAAGAUGCACUCAGCAGGUUUUAGAGUACAGUAAACCAACUUGUCCUGGUGCCUGCGCUAUACAGUAGACUGCCAGAUCUUACCCAUAGGUUCCUACUCUCCCUGGCUGCUCACAAUCCCUUUUUCCAUUCUAUCGUUUUAUUAUGUUGUAAAUAGUUGAGAAUAUGCUUUUAUCAACAAUUCUAGAAUAUUCUCAGCCUUGUCUCUUUAACGUCCACACUGUUGGGUUAUUCUAAAGGAGCAGUCCGAUCAGUUACCUUUUUAAAUAUUUUUUUUUAAUUUUUAAAAGUUGUAUUCCUUCUACAUGGAAUUUUAGUUUUCUUUUUUCUUUUUUAAUAUUUAUUUAUUUAUUUUAUGUACAUACUGUAGCUGACACACCAGAAGAAGGCAUCAGAUCCCAUUACAGAUGGCUGUGAGCCACCAUGUGGUUGCUGGGAAUUGAACUCAGGACUUCCAGAAGAGCAGUCAGUGCUCUUAACCUCUGAGCCGUCUCUCCAGCCCAAAUUUUAGUUUUCCUAACUGUCGUAAUUUUAUGUUGCUAUCCAUGAUUCAGUCAUCUGCUUCUUGACUUUGGAAUUUUAAUUUCCAUUUUAAGAUAUUAUAUUGGAGCCUAGUAUAGAGUGCAUUUACUUGUUUUUCUGUCUUAAGAGUGAUGCUCACAGCAGUUUUGUCUUCUUUGUUGGCUAGGUUACUAGUUUGCAACUUCAGCUCAUUGACACACUGCCUUUUUGCAUGGUCUCAUUUGUUUAUGUUUGAGUAACCCUACCUUUGUUUUUGGCAGUAUGUUUUGCUUCAUACACAGCUGAAAGGACUGUGCUAGUGGCUCAUGGUAUCUUGUGUAAACCAGUGUGUAACUUGUAAAACAUUUAAAGUAUGCAUUUUUGACAUUCCUUACAUCUGUAUGCAUCCUAGUUGGUAUUUUUGUUGUUGGAUGGUUUUUUCUCUUCUCAUUAGUAUUUCCCAGAAGGCUUUUGCUUUGUUUGUCUUUCCAAGCUCUAGCUUUAGGCUGCGGGUACAGCUGAUGCUGUAAGGCUCUACAUCUAAUUCACAGCUCCAUAAAGUAAUAAGAGAAAUGACAGAAUACCUCAGAGUUUGGCCUUUUUCACUGCUCUUUUUUUUUUUUAACCCAAUCAUUAUUUGUUAUUUUCUUUCCUUUGGCAUAUAUUUUUAAUAUUUGAAAUUUUAGGCAAUAUUUUGUAGGUAAAAAAUAUAUGCCUUUUCGUUACUGUAUAGGGUCAUAUGUUUUAUCAAGAGAUUGUUAUUUUAUAAAUUUUUUCUUCCAAACUUAGGUACCCAAAAGUACACUAAAUUAUCAAUCAUAGCAUUAGAAAUCCCUACUAUCUUUGAAAAUGGGAAUUCUUGUUUCACUGUUAGUCCUCUACCAUUUCUGAGAUGAAUGCAUUUCAUCCCUAAAUUACAGAAUUAAUGUAACUUGCAUUAAAAAUGUCUCCUUGUUGAGCCUUUUUGCGUCUUUUUUUUAAUGCGUAAGCUUUGAAAUAUUAGAGUGUGAAAUGGAAUACAGGAGAUUCAGAUGAGAACAGGCAGAGUUAGUAGGAAGACAGGAGUCCGGUACCAGGGAGGUUAUCAUACAGCAGAGGAAGUGGUGAAUCUAAGAGCUUGUACCCACAUGGUCAUAUAGAGUAGGAGCCUUCAUCCAGAACACACAGAACCCACUGAAGAAGUUUCUUUGAUACAAAAUCUUCGGUUGCAUUUUAACUCCAGAAAGUCACACCACCAGUAUUUCGGUUCUUGGUAAAAUGUUCAUUAGAAAAAAAACAAACUGUGCUUCCAUCCUAUUGCUUUUGAGGCUGUAAUGACAGUAGCAGAAACUCUGAAACCCACUUCAGGCAAUUAGAUACUGCACGGAAGCAGUGUUGGAGUGGUAACAAGAUGGAGCCUCUUCUGCAAUGUUGCUAUGUUGAAAAGCCUACUUGAAAAGAAUACAGUGUAACUGAACUGCCAGCAUAUUACACUCAGGGAUAAUGACUAAAGCAGUCGCAUGUCUCUUGCAUUCCUAGAUGGUGGUAGUUAGCAAUUU